UACGUAGGGGGCAAGCGUUGUCCGGAAUCAUUGGGCGUAAAGCGCGCGUAGGCGGCCAGAUAAGUCCGGUGUGAAAGUCACAGGCUCAACCUGUGAAUGCCGCUGGAAACUGUCUGGCUUGAGUCCGGAAGGGGCGAGUGGAAUUCCUGGUGUAGCGGUGAAAUGCGCAGAUAUCAGGAGGAACACCAAUGGCGAAGGCAGCUCGCUGGACGGUACUGACGCUGAGGCGCGAAAGCGUGGGGAGCGAACAGG
rnacentral:rRNA from 1 species